CACGAACGCUGGCGGCAGGCUUAACACAUGCAAGUCGAGCGCCCCGCAAGGGGAGCGGCAGACGGGUGAGUAACGCGUGGGAAUCUACCCAUCUCUACGGAAUAACGCAUGGAAACGUGUGCUAAUACCGUAUACGUCCUUCGGGAGAAAGAUUUAUCGGAGAUGGAUGAGCCCGCGUUGGAUUAGCUAGUUGGUGGGGUAAAGGCCUACCAAGGCGACGAUCCAUAGCUGGUCUGAGAGGAUGAUCAGCCACACUGGGACUGAGACACGGCCCAGACUCCUACGGGAGGAAGCAGUGGGGAAUAUUGGACAAUGGGCGCAAGCCUGAUCCAGCCAUGCCGCGUGAGUGAUGAAGGCCCUAGGGUUGUAAAGCUCUUUCACGGGUGAAGAUAAUGACGGUAACCGGAGAAGAAGCCCCGGCUAACUUCGUGCCAGCCGCCGCCGUAAUAC
rnacentral:rRNA from 1 species